rnacentral:lncRNA from 1 species
UCAUCACCACCUCCGCUGCUCCAGCCUCCACUCCGCCAUCACCUCUGCUCCACCUCCACUCCGCCACCACCUCCGACAUCAUCAUCAACAUCACAAACAAAACCCCCACAUCAAAACCCCCAAAACGAAAACCCUAAAAUCGAAAACCCUAAAUCGAUCGGAAACGAACACCCCAAAUCGAUCAAAGUUCAUAGAGAGAGAGUAGAGAGAGAGUGGAGGUGCAGAUUGUCUGUGUGGUGUGUGUUAAAACCUAGAAGAAGAAGAGGUUUUAUAUAAAAGAAAAAACAAACCCUCUUCUCCUUACAGACUGAAGACAUUUGGUCCACCUCUUCUCCUGCAGAUGCCUACAGAUGUGGCCUGCAGCAGAAGAGGUUUUCAAGAAGAAAAAACAAACAGCACCUUGGUGUUCUUGAUGUUGAAAUCAUUAUAUAUUUAA